rnacentral:rRNA from 13 species
ACGGGUGCGUAACGCGUAUGCAAUCUGCCUUUCACAGAGGGAUAGCCCAGAGAAAUUUGGAUUAAUACCUCAUAGUAUUAUAGAGCGGCAUCACUUUAUAAUUAAAGUCACAACGGUGAAAGAUGAGCAUGCGUCCCAUUAGCUAGUUGGUAAGGUAACGGCUUACCAAGGCCACGAUGGGUAGGGGUCCUGAGAGGGAGAUCCCCCACACUGGUACUGAGACACGGACCAGACUCCUACGGGAGGCAGCAGUGAGGAAUAUUGGUCAAUGGACGCAAGUCUGAACCAGCCAUGCCGCGUGCAGGAUGACGGUCCUAUGGAUUGUAAACUGCUUUUGUACGAGAAGAAACACUCCUAUGUAUAGGAGCUUGACGGUAUCGUAAGAAUAAGGAUCGGCUAACUCCGUGCCAGCAGCCGCGGUAAUACGGAGGAUCCAAGCGUUAUCCGGAAUCAUUGGGUUUAAAGGGUCCGUAGGCGGUUUAGUAAGUCAGUGGUGAAAGCCCAUCGCUCAACGGUGGAACGGCCAUUGAUACUGCUGAACUUGAAUUACUGGGAAGUAACUAGAAUAUGUAGUGUAGCGGUGAAAUGC